UGGUUCCGGCAUCGAUGAAGAACGCAGCGAAAUGCGAUAAGUAAUGUGAAUUGCAGAAUUCAGUGAAUCAUCGAGUCUUUGAACGCACAUUGCGCCCCCCGGCAUUCCGGGGGGCAUGCCUGUUCGAGCGUCAUUUCUACCCAUCAAGCCCCGCUUGGCAUUGAGCGUGCAGAGGCCCCGCCCCCCGCGCGGCCCCGCUCGAAAGACCUAGGCGGCGGCGUCGAGCCCCGGAGCGACCAGGAUCUCGUAUCACCCGCUCCGCGAGGGGACUUCGGCGCUGUCGGCCGCAGCAGCCCCCCAGGGGCCCCCCAGAUUUUGACCUCGGAUCAGGUAGGGAUACCCGCUGA
rnacentral:misc_RNA from 1 species